AAUCAGUCACUUUUUAUCUAUAAACUUUUGACUUUUCGUUUUAUUUAAAAACUUUCUAUGAUUAAUAUUUUUAUUUUUAUUAGAUAAUAAAUUAUGAAUAAUACUUUAUGUGUGACUAAUUUUUUAAAUUUUUUAUAAAAUUUUUAAAUAAGAUGCAUGGUCAAACGCCGGAUUGGACGGAGGGGGUAAUU
rnacentral:pre_miRNA from 1 species